AUGGAACUUUGUCUCUCCCGACCUGGAUCAGCGCCUCCUCGGAGGUCUUCUCACAGCUCCACGCCCCUCUGCACGCUGCCGCUGGACGGUGCCUCUCAGAAGGCACAGGUGCUGGGCUGGCCCCGCUCCCACCCAUCCUGUCCGAGAGCUCCCGCUGCCCCGCGGCUCCCGCUGCCCCGCGGCUCCCGCAGCCCCGCGGCUCCCGCUGCCCCGCGGCUCCCGCUGCCACGUGGGCCAGCAAGGCUCGGGGCUGGCGCACCUCUCCUGCCUCACAGGCUCUCAGCAAUGAAACCGUACUUCCAAUGUCUGUCACUUGAUGCUGUCGACAAAACAACACUUGGGGCACCCAGAAACAGAAAGGAAUGAGAGCAGACUCCUAACGUGUGAGUUCUCACUCUGCAAAAGGAAGCUGGUGAUGUGUCCACGGACCCAGCAGAACAAGCCUCUGCACCUCUCUUCGGAGCAAAGGCCACAAGGUAAAAGUGCUCAGGGAAGCCUUCGAGAGCUUUCUCCCGUCAGGCAGCCCAGGAGUCUUGGGCCUCAUGGAGCUGAAAUCACAAACCUCAGAGCCAUUACUUUUUUUUCUGAAGUGAAGUCUGGGGAUGCUGACCUGAGCACCUGCUGCAGAUGACCGCAGGGGUUCCUCACUGGCCGGGCACCGAUACAUUUUAUCUCCACUCACAUCUCCUGUAGGAAAACACCUGUGUCCCUUCAGGACGAGUUGGCUGUCAAGGUGACAUCCUUGCCUAUGUGUUCUGGGUGGGAGGUUGAGGAUUUAUGAGAGAAUCGAAGUGACUUCCGCUUCAGCAAACCAAAAAGACAGAUGGACAGGCAGACAUGAUCAGUUCAUGACGACAGACCCAGAGUGCUGGGCUCUCAGUAUUUACAGUUUAAGGGGAUUUCGAAAGAAAAGAUCAGUUCAGCAGCACAGGUCACUAGACUCUUUGUUGGGUUGAUGCAGGGGAGUGAGCUAGCCUGAGGGCGUUGUCUGAACUUUUGCGAAGGUGUCCACAAUUCAGAGGUCCUUCAAUUUCAGGUUCAAUGCCAAGAAAGAAAAAAACAAACCUUAAAGUUAGAAAGUCAAGGAGUUCCCGUCGUCACUCAGUGGUUAAUGAAUCCGACUAGGAACUAUGAGGUUGCGGGUUCAGUCCCUGGCCUCACUCAGUGGGCUAAGGAUCCGGCGUUACCGUGAGCUGUGGUGUAGAUCGCAGACGUGGCUCGGAUCCCACGUGGCUGUGGCUGUGGUGUAGGCUGGUGGCUACAGCUCCGAUGAGACCCCUGGCCUGGGAACCUCCAUGUGCUGCGGGAGCUGCCCUAGAAAAGGCAAAAAGACCAAAAAAAAAAAAAAAAAUAGUCAAGCAUCUAAAAAGGCUUCUGUAAAUGGGCUGAAAAAGAUAAAGGUGAUUUAAACAGAAAAGGUGCACGCUAGAAAGACCCUCAAAAUCUAAAAACCUGGUGGAAGAGACGGGUGAACCCCUGCAGCAGGAGCCUGUUUGGGGAGGCAUUUCCCCGCGCUGCUCCCGCUGCUCCCAGCUCAGGUGCGCACACCUGCCUUCUGGCUACAGGGUGGGUCCCCCAGUCUCUGCCAUCAGGCUGUGAAUUCCCGCAGAGCUGGAGCAUGUAGCUCCUAGCUCGGUUCCCAUGGACGGCGCCCAGACUCUGGCACAGGGUUUGUGCAGACUCGAUGCGUAUUGUGCGAAUGAGUGGAGAUGGACCGUGAGCAAACAGCUCUGUUAGAGGGUGUGCUCAGGGCCCGUUACCUGCCUAUCAGAGUGAGUAAAAGUGUGCCCGUGUGUACAAGGCAAAGUGGAUGUAAGUAAUCCCCUUAUUCCCAAGAACAGGCACAGCUUAAAAAUCAAGCCUGUUCACAAAGGAUUUCAAGAAGCUAAUGGGUGAUGGGUUAUUUGAAGGAAACUAGGACAGGAAAAGAUGACACCCGUCACUCAGAUACGUGUAUCCAGAGAGGUGACAAAGGUGAUGGUGCCAGGUAUGCAGAAGGUGCUCACUAAGAGCCUUCCCACCUUCCUUUGUGGCUGAGCGCGAAUAGCCCGCGUCAGCUGGACGCCCUUCCCAGCCGCCUCCUCCUCCUCCGGAGCAGGAGCAGAGCCAGCGAGCUCGGUCCAUGAAUCUGCUGACUCCCCUGCCAGGGGCUGAGCCCCGCGGCAUCAGUUCCUGGAUGGGCAGCAGCUGUGCUUGUUUUGCUGCUUUCGGUCCCGAGGCUGCCAAGAUCGGAGUCCUUACCUCCGACCUCGGACCACACCACCAGCGCCUCUGGGGGGGCGGGUAACAGUGGUCCCGGGAUCCUGUUAAUCAGAACUCCUCUGCCUUGAACUAUCGACUCCUUUGAAUCUGGUGCCAUCACCUCUCCCCACUCUUGGGGUCCCCAUUCCCACCCUGGCCUUCUCCCCACCUCCCCUGCCAGGGCUGGUAUCUCAUCCCUCGCGUCUCCAGCGCCUCCCCUCCCCACCCCCCUCCCUGGCCCCACCCCCGGGGCAAAUGUGUUUUAUAAAUAAAUUCCAAUUUACGAAUGAAGUAUAGGCUGCG
ensembl:lncRNA